rnacentral:rRNA from 1 species
UGUAGCAAUACACUCGCUGGCGACCGGCAAACGGGUGCGGAACACGUACGCAAUCUACCCAAAACUGGUGAAUAGCCCUCCGAAAGGAGGAUUAAUACACCGUAACCUAUUGAGGUGGCAUCACUUUAUUAGUAUAGCUCCGGCGGUUUUGGAUGAGCGUGCGGCUGAUUAGAUAGUUGGCGGGGUAACGGCCCACCAAGUCUGCGAUCAGUAACUGGUGUGAGAGCACGACCAGUCACACGGGCACUGAGACACGGGCCCGACUCCUACGGGAGGCAGCAGUAAGGAAUAUUGGUCAGUGGACGCAAGUCUGAACCAGCCAUGCCGCGUGGAGGAUGAAGGCCCUCUGGGUUGUAAACUUCUUUUAUCUGGGACGAAACCCUCAUAUUCUUAUAGACUGACGG